UACGGGGGGAGCAAGCGUUGUUCGGAUUUACUGGGCGUAAAGGGCGCGUAGGCGGCCACCGCAAGUCGACUGUGAAAUCUCCGGGCUUAACCCGGAACGGUCAGCCGAUACUGCGGGGCUAGAGUGCAGAAGGGGCAACUGGAAUUCUCGGUGUAGCGGUGAAAUGCGUAGAUAUCUGGAGGAAUACCGGUGGCGAAGGCGGCAUCCUGGACCGGCAUUGACGCUGGAACAGCGAAAGCUAGGGGAGCAAACGGG
rnacentral:rRNA from 1 species